AGGGAUGCAGUCUGGGACACGUAGUUGCAAACCUAGCGACUUUGUUGUUAGAUUCAAUGACUUUUCAGACCCCCUAACGACUUUUUUUUAGAAAGAAAGGGACUUUUAUCGACUUCUUCUGGAGUUUAGAGACUCUGACAUGAAGCAGGCUUUCCUUACUGAGGAGUUAGCAACGCUGCUAAGGGUGCAGAGCCACACAUGCGCUCAGAGCUCUGCAUGGGAGACUGAAGCUGACAGAGCUGCAGCAGUUAGCAGGUUUCACCCUCAGAGACCACCAGGGGUUCAUGUUGAGGCAUUUUAAUUUUUUUUUUUUGUGUGUGCCAUAGACACUGUCAGCACAAUCUGCAGUUACACUAACAAAAAUGCUGCAAAAAACAAAGAAUUAUGGAAAAAUUACACAUGGACUGACAUAGAGGAGGAUCUACACAAGUUUUUUACAUCAUGUUUUACAUCAUGCAUCAUUUACAUCAUGUUUUUUGUAGUGGCAUAAAUAAAAAGUGACAUUUGUGAGACUAUACAGUGUUUUGUAAAUAAUUUUACAAAGAACGCCUGGGCCAUUGCCUGCAUUUUGAUGUAAAUAGAGGUAAAUCACUAUGUUCUUUGUUAAAAAUUUGCAUAUGUUUUGAAGUUUACAAUUUUUAUUUGAAGUUUAAGUUUUAAAAACAGUUCAUCACACAUAUUUGUGGUUUUCACAGUAAAAAUGUUACUUUUUUCCACUCGGAUUUUAUGUUUUGUGUGUGAAUUUGGGUCCAUUGUGUAAAUUCAGUAUGUCAACAUGAUAAAAUAACUGUAAAUUCGCACAGGUGAGGUUGUGCUGAAAAAAAUGAUACCAGGCAAGGCACGUGAUUGUCAAAUUUUGUGUAAAUAUGACAAAGCGUAUAGGCGUGAAUCUCAACAAUAUGUAUUUUCACCUUAGGGGACAAGAAAAAAUGGACUUUUUUCUCCUGCCAUGGGGGGGCGCUCUUUUGGGGAGUAAAAAUUCCUUCACAAAUGUGUUGAUGGCUGGACAUUGCAUCAUCCUAGAAAACUUGGAGGCCAGUGAGGACAAAAAUAAAAAGUUAUAAGACUUUUAAAUAUGUGGAUUUUAGGGUUAUCUUUGGCGCCCCCUAGAACCUAAACCGUGGGGUGCAGCGUCAUGAUUUGAAUAACUUUUAAUGGCCAUGGGGUGUAGAUUGGCCUGAGCAAAUGUGGUGCCGGUGGAACGAAAGCCUUAGGAGGAGUUAGCCACAUUCCAAUGUGUGCGGAUCGGCAAAAAAUGCGGAAUAACCCUUUAACCGUACAUUUGACAGAUACGCGCGCAUUGACUUUUUCGUAGAUCUUAUUGAGUUACAUGUGUGUGUCAAUUUUUGUGUCAUUUUGACAAAGCGUAUAGGCGUGACACUCAACAAUGUGUAUUUUCACCUUAGGGGACAAGAAAAAAUGGACUUUUUUCUCCUGCCAUGGGGGGGCGCUCUUUUGGGGAGUAAAAAUUCCUUCACAAAUGUGUUGAUGGCUGGACAUUGCAUCAUCCUAGAAAACUUGGAGGCCAGUGAGGGCAAAAAUAAAAAGUUAUAAGACUUUUAAAUAUGUGGAUCUUAGGGUUAUCUUUGGCGCCCCCUAGAACCUAAACCGUGGGGUGCAGCGUCAUGAUUUGAAUAACUUUUAAUGGCCAUGGGGUGUAGAUUGGCCUGAGCAAAUGUGGUGCCGGUGGAACGAAAGCCUUCGGAGGAGUUAUCGAAAUUCCAAUGUGUGCGGAUCGGCAAAAAAUGCGAAAUAACCCUUUAACCGUACAUUUGACAGAUACGCCCGCACUGACUUUUUUGUAGAUCUUAUUGAGAUACAUGUGUGUGUCAAUUUUUGUGUCAUUUUGACAAAGCGUACAGGCGUGACAGUCAAUAGUGUGAAUUUUCACCUUAGGGGGCGCUAUGGAGCCAUUUUGCAUUUUCUUGUUUGGGCGACUUCGGAAUAUCAAAUUUUUCACCAGGCCCGGUUGUCCUGCCAAAUUUCAUGAGUUUUCGCCAGUGGGAAGUGGGCCAUUUUCCAGUUCAAAGGGGAGGAAAAAGAAAAAAGAAACAAAGAAAAACCACUUGGGGAAUAAUAGGGCUCUCGCAGCUGCUUAGCAGCUACGCUCUGGCCCUAACUAGGGCCCCGGUGGGGCACUGUCGGGCCCGAGCCGCGUUGCGCCGCCCCCAGCGCGACCGCCUCCCCUCCCGAUCGCGUCACACUCAAGGUCCAAAGAUGGUGUGCGCACUUGUCUGUGGUCAUUUCCCAUUAUAAUGAAUGGGAGGCGCAGUUUCUACCAAAACACUCGCUGCAGACAAACUACAUGUCCUAUUUGAAAAAAGUCUGAUCCAUGAGUGAGGGCACAAACACAGCUAGGAUAUAUCCAAAUGGCAAGUUGCUCCUCCUUUCGGAGGAGUUUGAACACAUGACAUGUGUUUGAGCCAUUGAGCGAUGGGCAGGAAAAACUUGACUUUUUCUCCUGCCAUGGGGGGGGCACUCUUUUGGGGAGUAAAAAUUCCUUCACAAAUGUGUUGAUGGCUAGACAUUGCAUCAUCCUAGAAAACUUGGAAGCCAGUGAGGACAAAAAUGAAAAGUUAUAAGACUUUUAAGAAUGUGGAUAUUUGGGUUAUCUUUGGCGCCCCCUAGAACGUAAACCGUGGGGUGCAGCGUCAUGAUUUGUACAACUUUUAAUGGCCAUGGGGUGUAGAUUGGCCUGAGCAAAUGUGGUGCCGGUGGAACGAAAGCUUUAGGAGGAGUUAGCCACAUUCCAAUGUGUGCGAAUCGAUCAAAAAUGCGUAAUAGCCCUUUAACCGUACAUUUUACAGAUACGUGCGCAUUGACUUUUUCGUAGAUCUUAUUGAGAUACACGUGAUUGUCAAAUUUUGUUUCAAUAUGACAAAGCGUACAGGCGUGACACUCAACAAUGUGUAUUUUCACCUUAUGGGACAAGAAAAAAUGGACUUUUUUCUCCUGCCAUGGGGGGCGCUCUUUUGGGGAGUAAAAAUUCCUUCACAAAUGUGUUGAUGGCUGGACAUUGCAUCAUCCUAGAAAACUUGGAGGCCAGUGAGGACAAAAAUAAAAAGUUAUAAGACUUUUAAGACUGUGGAUUUUUGGGUUAUUUUUGGCGCCCCCUAGAACGUAAACCGUGGGGUGCAGCGUCAUGAUUUGUACAACUUUUAAUGGCCAUGGGGUGUAGAUUGGCCUGAGCAAAUUUGGUGCCGGUGGAACGAAAGCCUUCGGAGGAGUUAGCGAAAUUCCAAUGUGUGCGGUUCCGCAAAAAAUGCAAAAUAGCCCUUUAACCGUACAUUUGACAGAUACGUGCGCGUAGACUUUUUUGUAGAUCUUAUUGAGAUACACGUGUGUGUCAAAUUUUAUGUCAAUAUGACAAAGCGUAUAGGCGUGACACUCAACAAUAUGUAUUUUCACCUUAGGGGACAAGAAAAAAUGGACUUUUUUCUCCUGCCAUGGGGGGGCGCUCUUUUGGGGAGUAAAAAUUCCUUCACAAAUGUGUUGAUGGCUGGUCAUUGCAUCAUCCUAGAAAACUUGGAGGCCAGUGAGGGCAAAAAUAAAAAGUUAUUAGACUUUUAAGAAUGUGGAUUUUUGGGUUAUCUUUGGCGCCCCCUAGAACGUAAACCGUGGGGUGCAGCGUCAUGAUUUGUACAACUUUUAAUGGCCAUGGGGUGUAGAUUGGCCUGAGCAAAUGUGGUGCCGGUGGAACGAAAGCCUUCGGAGGAGUUAGCGAAAUUCCACUGUGUGCGGAUCGGCAAAAAAUGCGAAAUAGCCCUUUAACCGUACAUUUGACAGAUACGCCCGCGCUGACUUUUUUGUAGAUCUUAUUGAGAUACACGUGUGUGUCAAAUUUUGUGUCAUUUUGACAAAGCGUACAGGUGUGACACUCAAUCAUGUGAAUUUUUCACCUUAGGGGGCGCUUUGGAGCCAUUUUGCAUUUGAUUGUUUGGGCGACUUCAGAAUAUCGAAUUUUUCACCAGGCCCGGUCGUCCUGCCAAAUUUCAUGAGUUUUCACCAGUGGGAAGUGGGCCAUUUUCCAGUUCAAAGGGGCAGAAAAAUAAUAAUAAGACUAGGGCCCCGUUGGGGCACUGGCGGGCCCGAGCCGUGUCACGCCGCCCCCAGCGCGACCGCCUCCCCCACCCGAUCGCGUCACACUCAAGGUCCAAAGAUGGUGUGCGCACUUGUUUGUGGUCAUUUACCAUUAUAAUGAACGGGAGGCGCAGUUUCUACCAAAACGCUCGCUGCAGAAAAACUCCAUGUCCUAUUUGAAAAAAGUCUGGACCAUGAGUGAGGGCACAAACACAGCUAAGAUAUAUCCAAAUGGCAAGUUGCUCCUCCUUUCGCUUUUGCCGAGAGAGCAGUGCGUUUGAGCCAUUGAAUGAUGAACAAGAAAAACUUGACUUUAUUCUCCUGCCAUGGGGGGCGCUCUUUUAAAGAGAAAAAACUCCUUCACAAAUGUGUUGAUGGCUGGACAUUGCAUCAUCCUAGAAAACAUGGAGGCCAGUGAGGACAAAAAUAAAAAGUUAUAAGACUUUUAAAUAUGUGGAUUUUAGGGUUAUAUUUGGCGCCCCCUAGAACCUAAACCGUGGGGUGCAGCGUCAUGAUUUGAAUAACUUUUAAUGGCCAUGGGGUGUAGAUUGGCCUGAGCAAAUGUGGUGCCGGUGGAACGAAAGCCUUCGGAGGAAUUAGCGAAAUUCCAAUGUGUGCGAAUCUGCAAAAAAUGCGAAAUAACCCUUUAACCGUACAUUUUACAGAUACGUGGCCAUUGACUUUUUCGAAGAUCUUAUGUAAAUACACGUGUAUGUAAAAUUUUGUGUCAAUACGACAAAACAUACAGGCGUAGCACUCAACAAUGUGUAUUUUCACCUUAGUGGACAAGAAAAAAUUGACUUUUUUCUCCUGCCAUGGGGGGGCGCUCUUUUGCCGAGUAAAAAUUCCUUCACAAAUGUGUUGAUGGCUGGACAUUGCAUCAUCCUAGAAAACUUGGAGGCCAGUGGGGACAAAAAUAAAAAGUUAUAAGACUUUUAAAUAUGUGGAUUUUACGGUUAUCUUUGGCUCCCCCUAGAACCUAAACCGUGGGGUGCAGCGUCAUGAUUUGAAUAACUUUUAAUGGCCAUGGGGUGUAGAUUGGCCUGAGCAAAUGUGGUGCCGGUGGAACGAAAGCCUUCGGAGGAGUUAGCGAAAUUCCAAUGUGUGCGGAUCGGCAAAAAAUGCGGAAUAACCCUUUAACCGUACAUUUGACAGAUACACGCGCAUUGACUUUUUCGUAGAUCUUAUUGAGAUACAUGUGUGUGUCAAUUUUUGUGUCAUUUUGCCAAAGCGUACAGGUGUUACACUCAACAAUGUGUAUUUUCACCUUAGGGGACAAGAAAAAUGGACUUUUUUCUCCUGCCAUGGGGGGGCGCUCUUUUGGGGAGUAAAAAUUCCUUCACAAAUGUGUUGAUGGCUGGACAUUGCAUCAUCCUACAAAACUUGGAGGCCAGUGAGGACAAAAAUAAAAAGUUAUAAGACUUUUAAGACUGUGGAUUUUUGGGUUAUCUUUGGCGCCCCCUAGAACGUAAACCGUGGGGUGCAGCGUCAUGAUUUGUACAACUUUUAAUGGCCAUGGGGUGUCGAUUGGCCUGAGCAAAUUUGGUGCCGGUGGAACGAAAGCUUUAGGAGGAGUUAGCGAAAUUCCAAUGUGUGCGAUCGGCAAAAAAUGCGAAAUAACCCUUUAACCGUACAUUUGACAGAUACGUGCGCAUAGACUUUUUUGUAGAUCUUAUUGAGAUACACGUGUGUGUCAAAUUUUGUGUCAAUAUGACAAAGCGUAUAGGCGUGACACUCAACAAUAUGUAUUUUCACCUUAGGGGACAAGAAAAAAUGGACUUUUUUCUCCUGCCAUGGGGGGGCGCUCUUUUGGGGAGUAAAAAUUCCUUCACAAAUGUGUUGAUGGCUGGACAUUGCAUCAUCCUAGAAAACUUGGAGGCCAGUGAGGACAAAAAUAAAAAGUUAUUAGACUUUUAAGAAUGUGGAUUUUUGGGUUAUCUUUGGCGCCCCCUAGAACGUAAACCGUGGGGUGCAGCGUCAUGAUUUGUACAACUUUUAAUGGCCAUGGGGUGUAGAUUGGCCUGAGCAAAUGUGGUGCCGGUGGAACGAAAGCCUUCGGAGGAGUUAGCGAAAUUCCAAUGUGUGCGGAUCGGCAAAAAAUGCGCAAUAAUCCUUAAACCGUACAUUUGACAGAUACGCCCGCACUGACUUUUUUGUAGAUCUUAUUGAGAUACAUGUGUGUGUCAAUUUUUGUGUCAAUAUGACAAAGCGUACAGGCGUGACAGUCAAUAGUGUGAAUUUUCACCUUAGGGGGCGCUAUGGAGCCAUUUUGCAUUUUAUUGUUUGGGCGACUUCAGAAUAUCGAA